rnacentral:lncRNA from 1 species
UUUUCAGUUAAUUAAAUUAAGUCUCUUCUGUUCACCAAGGCUGCAUUUAUUUGAUCAAAAACACAGUGAAAACAGAAAUAUUAUCACAGUUUAAAAUAACUGUUUUAUAUUGCAAUAAAUUUUAAAAUGUAAUUUAUUUCUGUGAUCAAAGCUGAAUUUUCAGCAUCGUUACUCCAGUCUUCAGUGUCACAUGAUCUUUCAGAAAUCAUACUAAUAUGUCGAUUUGGUGCUCAAGAAACAUUUCUGAUUAUUAUCAGUGUUAAAAACAGUCAUGUUGCUUAAUAUUUAUUCAGGAUUUUUUAAUGAAUAGAGAGAAUUUAUUUGAAGUCCUUUGCAAAACAUAAAUGCACUUUUGAUCAAUUUAAUGCAUCCUUGUUGAAUAAAAGUUUCAAUAAUAAUAAUAAUAAUAAUAAUAAAAACAUCUGGAAGGGUAGUUUCUGAUAGAAAAUGAGCUGUUUAGACUUUGCUGUUUCAGAGCUGAUAUGAUAUAAUGUAGAAUAUAAUCACAGAUGUAAUGUAUCUCUAUAAUAAUCCUAUGGAAAAUAAGAUAUUUUUUAAUUUCAGCCCAGCACAGAAUCCCUCCUAUCUCAUAUCCAUCUCUGAAGUUCUACGCUGUGGCGUCCCGACCUCUUUAUCAGUCACCAUUCUGGCAGAGUAUCCCAUCAAAGUCACGGCUGAACUCAUCCACGGAAACAGCAGUGUGGCCCAAACAGAGAGCACCAUCCCAGCAGGCUCUACCAGACUGCUGGCUCUUCCCCCCGUCUUUUCUGAUGACAUGAGUUACUGGUAUCCAUAUCAGCUGGAUGUUAAGGGGUUUGUUGGCACUAAUCAAGUGUUCUCCAACUCCACCACGAUGGUCUUCAGUCCCAAGUGCAUGUCCGUCUUUAUCCAGACCAAUAAGAACAACUACCAACCAGGGCAGACGGUGAAAUUUCGGGUUGUAUUGGUUACACCUGAAGGAAAUCCGCACAAGGGUCAGAUCGAUAUUUUUAUCAGGGUGAGUGUCUGCAGUGUUUGGCAAUAAAGCGACUAGUUUAAAACCCCCUUAGUUGUUCUAAAUUCACUGUAAGCCCCAGAUUCACUGGGCAUAUUGCUUUAUAAAAUGGUUAAUAAAUACAUUAAAUAGAACAAAAAAAAAAAAAAAAUUUCUCCAACUCCACCACGAUGGUCUUACAGUCCCAAGUGCAUGUCCGUCUUUAUCCAGACCAAUAAGAACAACUACCAACCAGGGCAGACGGUGAAAUUUCGGGUUGUAUUGGUUACACCUGAAGGAAAUCCGCACAAGGGUCAGAUCGAUAUUUUUAUCAGGGUGAGUGUCUGCAGUGUUUGGCAAUAAAGCGACUAGUUUAAAACCCCCUUAGUUGUUCUAAAUUCACUGUAAGCCCCAGAUUCACUGGGCAUAUUGCUUUAUAAAAUGGUUAAUAAAUACAUUAAAUGCAAAAAAAAAAAAAAUAAAAAAUUAUGUAAUACUAAUUAAUUAACAUGAUGUGGCGAAUUAAUUAAUACGAAUUAAUCGACGAAUUAAAUUAGAAAAUAUAACAACAAAGAUACAUUUAAAGCCAUUAUUGUGUUAAAUGAGAAAAAUAUCAAGUAGACAUAAGUAGCUUUAGAAAGAAAAAAGUAUUUAAUUCAACACAAAAUUUAUUGCACAUAAACAUUUAGGCUACAACAAACAUGCAUAAACAUAAAAUAA